ACCAGCGCAACCAUGUCCACCGUCGGUGAGCUUGCCUGCUCCUAUGCCGCCAUGAUCCUCCAAGAUGACGGGAUCGCAGUCACGGCUGAAAAGAUCAACGUACUGCUGAAGGCGGCGAACGUGAAGGUCGAUUCCUUCUGGGCGCCGCUCUUUGCGAAGUUGUUUGAGAAGCGGAGUGUUAAUGAUUUGAUCGCGAGUGUCGGAUCUGGCGGUGGUGGUGGUGGGGGUGCUGCCGCACCAGUGGGUGCGGGUGCGGCUGCGGCCGCUCCGGCCGCCGAGGCACCAAAGGCUGAGGAGAAGGAGGAGCCUAAGGAGGAGAGCGAUGAUGAUAUGGGAUUCAGCCUCUUUGAUUAGGGUUUUGAUUUCGGUAGCUUUAUUGCAUCAGUUGAAUGUUAAGUACUAGUCUGUUUAUGCUUUUCUUUGUGGAACUCGAUCUAUGAACACUAGCCGUUUUCUGACAGAGUUGGGUCUUGCUGUCACCGAUUUUGUUUGAAUUUAUGGUAUUAUUAUUCUGUUAAUUUAUGCACUAGAGAAG
rnacentral:misc_RNA from 1 species